AUAAAAAUGAUGAUAAACUGUCACUGAUUGUUGGAUUCAAUCUAUUUUGGAGCGAGUCAUAACGUUUAUAGGGAUGUUCGCUGUUGCGAGGCAUUUGUCUGAUGCAGCA